ACGAACGCUGGCGGCGUGCUUAACACAUGCAAGUCGAACGGAAAGGCCUUUUCGGAGGUACUCGAGUGGCGAACGGGUGAGUAACACGUGGGUGAUCUGCCCUGCACUCUGGGAUAAGCCUGGGAAACUAGGUCUAAUACCGGAUAGGACCGCACUUUAGUGUGUGUGGUGGAAAGUUUUUUCGGUGUAGGAUGAGCCCGCGGCCUAUCAGCUUGUUGGUGGGGUAAUGGCCUACCAAGGCGGCGACGGGUAGCCGGACUGAGAGGUUGGUCGGCCACAUUGGGACUGAGAUACGGCCCAGACUCCUACGGGAGGCAGCAGUGGGGAAUAUUGCACAAUGGGCGCAAGCCUGAUGCAGCGACGCCGCGUGGGGGAUGACGGCCUUCGGGUUGUAAACUCCUUUCGCCAGGGACGAAGCGUUUUGUGACGGUACCUGGAGAAGAAGCACCGGCUAACUACGUG
rnacentral:rRNA from 1 species